GUCCCUCUCAUUUUUAAAGGAAGGGACUUGGAUCAAAUCCAGGUUGUCUUCGAACCUACACCCUCGUUGUACAAAAAAAAAAAGAAAAAAAAACAUAGGUAAAAAUUCUCUGUUGCAUUUUUAUGGGUGAUGACGAGCCAGCAGCUGUGUCACUAUCAUGGGAUAAGAUGCUGCCAAAUCACCCUCCAUGUGGCACGGAUGUGAUGAGUCAGCUUCCAAAUCAUACGCGGCUAAGGGCAGAAAGGGGUGCAAUCUGUCAACAUCUAGGGUUUGAGGGUGUGAAGUGUGUAACUUUUUUCUUUGUGGGGUGGGAAAAUGCUGAAAUAACUUAUUUUGGGUGCAAGAUGUAAUUUAAUCCAUUUAUUAUUGAUGUAGAAGAAAACAUUAGCUGCACAGCACUCUUGAACUAGUACAGGCAGGAUGCUAUCGUCUUCCCUGAUGCUCCGCCGCUUCUGCUGCCUCUGCACCGCCGCUUCUUCUUCCUCCUCCCCUGCUCCCGCUUCAUCUCGCACCCUCCCUUCUACCAAGAAGCGUCUCGUUUUCUUGGGUUCACCUCAGGUCUCAGCUUUUGUUCUUGAUUCCCUUUUCAAUGCCUCUUCUGCCCCAGAUUCUUUAUUCGAGAUUGCAGCAAUUGUCACCCAGCCACCCUCUGGAAGAGAUAGGGGUAGAAAGUUGAUGCCUUCUCCAGUUGCGCAACAUGCUGUGGAGAGAGGAUUUCCAUCUGAAUUGAUUUUUACACCAGCAAAAGCUGGUGAGGAAUCAUUUCUUUCCAGUUUUAAGGUUCUGGAACCUGAACUAUGCAUCACUGCUGCAUAUGGCAAUAUCUUACCAACAAAAUUUCUUAAGCUUCCGUCCAUGGAUUUGAGUGCAAUCUUGCAGGUACAGUCAACAUACACCCUAGUCUGCUUCCUCUGUAUCGUGGGGCAGCUCCUGUUCAGAGGGCUCUGCAGAAAAGGACUUCAACAGGAUGGUGUAAGAGAAACAGGAGUUUCAUUGGCAUAUACGGUGCGCCAACUAGAUGCUGGUCCUGUUAUUGCUUGUGAAAAAGUGGAAAUUGAUGAUUAUAUAAAGGCAACAGAGUUACUUGAAUUGCUGUUUGCUCGAGGAUCCCAACUUCUAAUCCGUGAGCUUCCAUCAAUAUUCGAUGGUUCAGCUAAAGCUAAAGCAGUUGCACAAGAUGAAUCUAAAGCUACAUUGGCUCCAAAAAUUACUCCAGAAGAGUCUUGGCUUUCCUUUGAUCAAGAUGCUAGAAUCCUUCACAACAAGGUUGGCCAGGGACCCGAGCAAAAGUUUCAGUACUUGACCCAAAAAGUGGUCAGCAUAAUAUUAUAGAGCUUAAAAUCAUCACUACAAGGGUUUAUGGCAAUAAUGAAAUUCGGAGUGGCCAAAUGGAUGAUAUAUUCUUUGCAAAAGGCUCACUGAUAGUCCCUUGUGGUGGGGGUACAGCACUGGAGGUACUGGAGGUCCAACUUCCAGG